rnacentral:rRNA from 1 species
GAUGAACGCUGGCGGCGUGCCUAAUACAUGCAAGUCGAGCGAACAGAUAAGGAGCUUGCUCCUUUGACGUUAGCGGCGGACGGGUGAGUAACACGUGGGUAACCUACCUAUAAGACUGGAAUAACUCCGGGAAACCGGGGCUAAUGCCGGAUAACAUUUAGAACCGCAUGGUUCUAAAGUGAAAGAUGGUUUUGCUAUCACUUAUAGAUGGACCCGCGCCGUAUUAGCUAGUUGGUAAGGUAACGGCUUACCAAGGCAACGAUACGUAGCCGACCUGAGAGGAUGAUCGGCCACACUGGAACUGAGACACGGUCCAGACUCCUACGGGAGGCAGCAGUAGGGAAUCUUCCGCAAUGGGCGAAAGCCUGACGGAGCAACGCCGCGUGAGUGAUGAAGGUCUUCGGAUCGUAAAACUCUGUUAUUAGGGAAGAACAAAUGUGUAAGUAACUGUGCACGUCUUGACGGUACCUAAUCAGAAAGCCACGGCUAACUACGUG